CCAANGUAUGCUUUGGAAACUGUUAGACUUGAGUGCAGAAGGGGAGAGUGGAAUNCCAUGUGUAGCGGUGAAAUGCGUAGAUAUAUGGAGGAACACCGGUGGCGAAAGCGGCUCCCUGGUCUGUCACUGACGCUGAGGCUCGAAAGCGUGGGUAGCGAACAGGAUUAGAUACCCUGGUAGUCCACGCCGUAAACGCUGAGUGCUAGGUGUUAGGUCCUUUCCGGGACUUAGUGCCGACGCUAACGCAUUAAGCACUCCGCCUGGGGAGUACGACCGCAAGGUUGAAACUCAAAGGAAUUGACGGGGGCCCGCACAAGCGGUGGAGCAUGUGGUUUAAUUCGAAGCAACGCGAAGAACCUUACCAGGUCUUGACAUCCCGAUGCCCGCUCUAGAGAUAGAGUUUUUCUUCGGUACAUCGGAGACAGGUGGUGCAUGGUUGUCGUCAGCUCGUGUCGUGAGAUGUUGGGUUAAGUCCCGCAACGAGCGCAACCCUUAUUGUUAGUUGCCAUCAUUAAGUUGGGCACUCUAGCGAGACUGCCGGUAAUAAACCGGAGGAAGGUGGGGAUGACGUCAAAUCAUCAUGCCCCUUAUGACCUGGGCUACACACGUGCUACAAUGGUUGGUACAACGAGUCGCAAGCCGGUGACGGCAAGCUAAUCUCUGAAAGCCAAUCUCAGUUCGGAUUGUAGGCUGCAACUCGCCUACAUGAAGUCGGAAUCGCUAGUAAUCGCGGAUCAGCACGCCGCGGUGAAUACGUUCCCGGGCCUUGUACACACCGCCCGUCACACCACGAGAGUUUGUAACACCCAAAGUCGG
rnacentral:rRNA from 1 species